rnacentral:rRNA from 1 species
GCUUGUCUCAAAGAUUAAGCCAUGCAUGUGUCAGUAUAAAUAGUAUACAGUGAAACUGCGAAUGGCUCAUUAAACCAGUUAUAGUUUAUUUGAUAAUUGAAUUUACAUGGAUAACUGUGGCAAUUCUAGAGCUAAUACAUGCUGUUAAACCUUAAGGUUGUAUUUAUUAGAUAUCAAGCCGAUAAUUUUGAUGAUUCAUAAUAACUGAUCGAAUCGAGGGAUUCCUCGAUAAAUCAUUCAAGUUUCUGCCCUAUCAGCUAGAUGGUAGUGUAUUGGACUACCAUGGCAGUCACGGGUAACGGAGAAUUAGGGUUCGGUUCCGGAGAGGGAGCCUGAGAAAUGGCUACCACAUCUAAGGAAGGCAGCAGG